UACGUAGGGUGCAAGCGUUAUCCGGAAUUACUGGGCGUAAAGCGCGCGUAGGUGGUUUGUUAAGUUGGAUGUGAAAGCCCCGGGCUCAACCUGGGAACUGCAUCCAAAACUGGCAAGCUAGAGUACGGUAGAGGGUGGUGGAAUUUCCUGUGUAGCGGUGAAAUGCGUAGAUAUAGGAAGGAACACCAGUGGCGAAGGCGACCACCUGGACUGAUACUGACACUGAGGUGCGAAAGCGUGGGGAGCAAACAGG
rnacentral:rRNA from 1 species